CAGAAAUUAGACAGUCAGUCAUGUGGUGGACACAUGACCCCCCGGGCAGGCACUGACUGGUUUCAGAUGGGACUGCUGCUGCUGCUUUAUGGCCGUGCUGGCCACUGCUCCAGGGAGUGGGUUCAUCAGCCGUGAUGGCCAAGCACUGGAACAGAUUUCGUGGUUCGUUGGGCCAAAGUGAUAGAUGACAUCUAUGGUGGGGAAGUGGCUUCUGAGCUUGCAGAAAUCCCGAGAUGGAGAAGGAAGCCACCAGGACUGGACCUGACUGCACAUCCCCACCUGUGAGGUGCGGCGUGUGAAGACUGCACCUGGGGAAACACUCAAGCCCCCUCAGAGAGGCAACCCCCCAAACAUAAUCAUGUAUGGAUGUAAGAGUUGGGCCAUAAAGAAGGCUGAGUGCUGAAGAAUG
ensembl:lncRNA